GAGGCGGGCGGGUACAUGGCGGGCUCUGUGGGACUGGCGUUGUGCGGGCAGACGUUGGUGGUGCGGGGCGGCAGCCGAUUCCUGGCCACCUCCAUAGCAAGCAGGUGAGGGGGCCUUGGUCUUGGAACAGGGAGACCAGGCUGCGGGCGCGCGUCGGGUCCUGGCGACCCCGCUUCUCCCGCACCGCCUGGUCGCACCCACUCUGGGGUGACCCCGGGGAACUCCGCUCCAGCCCACGAGUCCUCCGCCGCAGUCUCGGCCUGGCCGCGUCUCUGCGCCUGGAGGGUCCGCUUUCGCCGUCCGCUCUCGGCGUCCGCUCCCCGGCUCCGGCGCGCUCCUUGCACUAGAUGGCUGGUCUGCGGUGUUCUUGCCCGGUUAGCGCCGCCGGGUCGCUUCCGGUCUCCGCGGCGCCGGCGGGGACCGGUGAUGAUGACAGCCUCUUCAUCUAUGACUGCAGUGCUGCAGAAAAGAAGUCACAAGAAAAUAAAGGGGAGGACGCGCCCUUGGACCAGGGGAGCGGUGCGAUUCUGGCGUCCACCUUCUCCAAGUCUGGCAGCUAUUUUGCUUUAACCGAUGACAGUAAGCGUCUGAUUCUUUUCCGUACAAAACCAUGGCAAUGUCUGAGUGUCAGGACCGUGGCAAGGAGGUGUACAGCCCUGACUUUCAUAGCCUCGGAGGAGAAGGUCUUGGUGGCCGACAAGUCUGGAGACGUCUACUCCUUUUCGGUGCUGGAGCCACACGGGUGUGGCCGUCUAGAGCUGGGGCACCUGUCUAUGCUGUUAGAUGUGGCUGUGAGUCCUGAUGACCGCUUCAUCCUCACUGCCGACCGGGACGAGAAGAUCCGAGUCAGCUGGGCCGCGGCGCCCCAUAGCAUCGAGUCCUUCUGCUUGGGGCACACAGA
rnacentral:lncRNA from 1 species